rnacentral:rRNA from 1 species
CUGCGGAGGAUCAUUAUUGAAUUUAAUGAAGAGCUUGGUUGUAGCUGGUCCAAUGGAUUUUUUAAUUUUAAUUUUAAUUUUUAAAAUCCAAAAUUGGGUAUGUGCACACCUUUCUCUUUCAUCCAUACACACACCUGUGCACCUGUGAGACAGAUUCAGGGGAACUUUUUUUUUCUGAGGGGACCCUGCUGUCUAUUUAAUUUAUAUAAACUCAAUUUAAUUUAAAAUGAAUGCAAUGGAUGUAACACAUCUAAUACUAAGUUUCAACAACGGAUCUCUUGGCUCUUGCAUCGAUGAAGAACGCAGCGAAAUGCGAUAAGUAAUGUGAAUUGCAGAAUUCAGUGAAUCAUCGAAUCUUUGAACGCACCUUGCGCUCCUUGGCAUUCCUUGGAGCAUGCCUGUUUGAGUAUCAUGAAAUAUUCAAAGUAAAUCUUUUGUUUACUCAAUUGGUUCUACUUUGGUAUUUGAGGUUUAUUGCAGCUUCACACCUGCUCCUCUUUGUGCAUUAGCUGGAUUCUCUUGGUGGUUAUGCUUGGUUCCACUCGGCGUGAUAAAUUAAUUUAAUCGCUGAGGACACUCUAUAGUGGCCAAGGUAAAUACAGAUGAAUCUGCUUCUAAUAGUCCCAUUGACUUGGACAAUAUAUAUUUAUUAUGAUAUGAUCUCAAAUCAGGUAGGACUACCCGCUGAACUUAA